rnacentral:rRNA from 1 species
UACGAAGGUCCCGAGCGUUGUUCGGAAUCACUGGGCGUAAAGGGAGCGUAGGCGGCAUGGUAAGUCAGAUGUGAAAUCCCGGGGCUCAACCCCGGAACUGCAUCCGAUACUGCCUUGCUUGAGGGUUGGAGAGGUAGCUGGAAUUAUCGGUGUAGCAGUGAAAUGCGUGGAUAUCGAUAGGAACACUCGUGGCGAAAGCGAGCUACUGGACAACAUCUGACGCUGAGGCUCGAAGGCUAGGGGAGCAAACGGG